GUCAGGAUAGCUCAGUCGGUAGAGCAGAGGA
rnacentral:tRNA from 1 species